rnacentral:misc_RNA from 1 species
AACGCACGAGACCUGCGGACCUGCGGAGGGAUCAUUACCAAAACUCAUUCUUAAUGAGCUUACACCAUUGUGAACCGUUUGAGUGCGUCGUGUGCUUGCUUGCCUGCCUGCCUGCCGCUUGUCGGCUGCUGCCUGCUGGCUUACACUACACAUACGCACGAAACCCCUAUUAACUAUUAAACAUUAGACUAACACAUAAAACUUUAAUGUACUAAACAACUUUCAACAACGGAUCUCUAG